AAGGGUGUAGCUCAGUGGUAGAGAGCUGACCUGGAAUGUGUGAGGCUCUGGGUUUGAUCCCCAGCACACACA
rnacentral:tRNA from 1 species